UUAUAAUUAUACUGCUGCUUCAAGAGCUUUAUACGUCAAAUCCUGUUGCAAAUUGCGCAAAAAGCGCGAUAACAAUCGAAAUUGCGUUACUUCCUGUCGACGAUGGGCUUGUUGUUUUUUUUUUCCGCAUUUGGACACGUAAACGCGUCACAGAUUAUGGGAUUUAUAUAAGAGCAAAGAAAGCUUCUGCGGACCAGUGUACUAGUGCAUCAAGUUAAGCAGGAUGAUUAAGCUAUUCCUCAUUACUUUACUUUGCGCGACGCUGGUGUUCGCUGAUUUGCCGGUCCAGGGCCUCCAAGAUGCAGCGGAGGGACCGGUGAACGGAUUUCUCGGUAUGGCUGAUCACUUGGGUCGUGGUAGUAGUUUGGUGCGACGAUCGGCACAGGGAGGUGGAGGUCAAGGAGGAAUAGGAGGAGGAUUUGGAGGACGCGUGGGAGGAGGAGCAGGAGGAGGAGCAGGAGCAGGAGGAAAAUGAUAGAAUCAGAUCAUAAGGAUCAUAAAUAAAUAGUUUAUGCUCUUUAGGUCCAAUAUGGAGAUAUUGAAGCCUGUUGUAAAAUAGAGAAAAGUGAUUUAGAUUUCACUCAACACUUUGACACGUCUUAUUAGAGUACUUUGCACGCUUGAGAACCUCGAUGAUUUUAGAUUUACAAUAAUAAAACUUCGCACCGCAUGAUAUUUAUUAUAAUAUUUAUUUUAUUCGAUCCCAUCCGUACUUGUUCUUAACAAAACGGAAAUAAUCCGUGAAAACUUUUUAAUUUUGAUAUACAUGUAUAACGUACUAUUUCGUUAUUAAAUUUCUCUUACUUUUUCUAUCUAAUGAAAAUAAAUUUUAAAUAUUAGACUAAAGAGUAGAUGUAUAUUUAAUGUUUCUAACAUAUUUUAAUGUUCGGAUUAUAUCGUAUAUUUUACUGUCAAGUAGGCUAUCAAACAUCGCGAGAGAACUGUAUAUGUAUGUACAUAUUUACGUAAAUAUAUUUGAAAUAAAUUGUCGUUCUCGAAGAGCCAUGGAUGA